GCUCUAUUCCAGAAGCAGUGUGGAGCACAAAGAAUCCCUAAUCCCUGACAUUAAGAAAGAAGAAAAAUAUUCCUAGGACGAUCCUGGAGAGCAAAGGUCAUUAGCAGUCACUUGACUUUCCUUGGAUUUCUCAACUGCAGUAGUCACACGGUCUGCUGAAAAUGAAUUCUCUUUAUUUUCAUCUGAUUUCAAGGAAUUAUGGUUUUCAGUGAUUUCUUCAUUUGGAUCUAUUUUGAGACAGAGUAAUAGCAUUAAAACCCCCUUCUGAAUUAAUAAGGUAAGAUGGGCUUAAAAUCACCCAAUUCAAUUCACUAUUGGAUUCUUUGGAGCUGUUAAUCUAUUCAGUGAAAAGAACAAGAACUUUGGAGCUCAAGAUUUAACUAUGGCUCCAUCACUGACCUUGAGCAUUUGUUGCUGAAACGCAAAGUGUGACAAGCCAAUGGAGUAUUUUAUGGGUGCAAAGGAAAUUAUAUGUCAAAAGCAAUGGAGAGAAAACAUUUGAGAAAAUGGAAGAAAUGCUGAGACACUGGAGUCUACCCUGAAAGAUAAAGUUUCACCUGAGGAGAUCUGCAAAUUAGUAGCUUUUUGCCAGAAGGCAUUCUCCAAUCUAUGCAGCUCAAGUAAUAGAAGGCUACAGCCUUGGUGGAAUGACUUGAGGGGACAGAGGACAGAGUCUAGGACCAUCAGAUCAGCCAAUAAGUAUGUGGAAAAUAGCAGAGGACAGUGACCACAAAAUCUGCAUAUGAAAUUCACCAAAAACCUUUACCACCUCUAUU
rnacentral:antisense_RNA from 1 species